rnacentral:lncRNA from 1 species
AUAUCGGCAAUCACAUAGGUCAUGCAAACCCGUCUGCUUAUUAAAAAGUAGCACGUUUCACUAACGACCUUAUGAUUAAAGAUCUAAUAGACCACUACGGAAGUCAUUUAGCCUAGCAAGUUAGAAGUUUCAAAAGAUGCCUCAAGCAAGCGAAGAUAUGCACCCGACAACCUAAAGUUGGCGCCUAAAGCAAUAGAGAUGGGCUUGACUACUUUGUUCAAAGCAGCCUGUUGGAUUGUUCAUUCUACGGAAAAAGAUUGAAGCAAGGUAAAGAGACAAGGAUGAAGUCAAGCGAAGAAAAACAGUUUAUUUAUUUCUAGCAAAUUGGUUAACUGGCACGAAGGCUAGCAGAGUUCAAGUAAAGGAAAAGGCAAAGCAGGAAAGGAGAAAGUAAACCCUAAAGUUCAUCUAAAACGACUACUCCUAAGUAGCUUGAACAUCUUCAGCAGCUGCAUCGUUCUUAGUAGCAUUAACCUCCCGCUACAUCUUUAGGAGAAAGUAAAUCCUAAAGUUCAUCUAAAAUGAUCUAUAUAGACAAUAUUGUAGAAGUUAGCUUGACCUUAUGUAAGGACAAACUCAAGACUUGACUUAUCACUCUUCAUCUACUUAUUCUCCUUAAUCAGAUCAGUACCAGCAUUCUGCAACUCAUUUAAUUCAUUCUUCAGGUUCUCGCUGGCAGACAACACUCAUUGCAACUCCACUUCCUUGGACUUAUGUCUACGGAUGGCCUUCUUAAGUUGAACAACAUCAUUAUGCAUUAUGAGUAGCUCUACAUCCUUGGCAUCAUUGGCAGACCAAAAUUCUGAAAUGGCAUGUUCAAGGUUCUGCACUAGCAACGCUU